CCACGAGAUCGGGAUAACACCUGGAAACAGAUGCUAAUACCGGAUAACAACAGAUGAUGCCUAUCAACUGUUUAAAAGAUGGUUCUGCUAUCACUCUUGGAUGGACCUGCGGUGCAUUAGCUAGUUGGUAGGGUAACGGCCUACCAAGGCGAUGAUGCAUAGCCGAGUUGAGAGACUGAUCGGCCACAUUGGGACUGAGACACGGCCCAAACUCCUACGGGAGGCAGCAGUU
rnacentral:rRNA from 1 species